GAUGAACGCUAGCUACAGGCUUAACACAUGCAAGUCGAGGGACCGGCGCACGGGUGAGUAACACGUAUCCAACCUGACCUUUACUCGGGGAUAGCCUUUCGCUAGAAAGAUUAAUACCCGAUAUCAAGUAUGGGGAUGCGUUCCAUUAGGUUGUUGGUGAGGUAACGGCCCACCAACCCUUCGAUGGAUAGGGGUUCUGAGAGGAAGGUCCCCCACAUUGGAACUGAGACACGGUCCAAACUCCUACGGGAGGCAGCAGUGAGGAAUAUUGGUCAAUGGGCGUUAGCCUGAACCAGCCAAGUAGCGUGAAGGAUGAAGGCUUAUGGGUCGGAAACUUCUAUUAUAUAAGAAUAUGUAUUAUAUGAAUAAGGAUCGGCUAACUCCGUGCCAGCAGCCGCGGUAAUUC
rnacentral:rRNA from 1 species